UACAGAGGUCUCAAGCGUUGUUCGGAUUUAUUGGGCGUAAAGGGCGCGUAGGCGGCGGGGUAAGUCGGGUGUGAAAUCUCAGGGCUCAACCCUGAAACUGCACUUGAUACUGCUCUGCUUGAGGACUGGAGAGGAGACUGGAAUUCACGGUGUAGCAGUGAAAUGCGUAGAUAUCGUGAGGAAGACCAGUGGCGAAGGCGGGUCUCUGGAC
rnacentral:rRNA from 1 species